UGACCGAAUCAUGGUGCGUUCAUUUUCUUGUCUAUAAAAACCAAGUCGAAUCACUUGGCAAAGUACACUUCCGAACGCAUUCUACACAAGAGUUUUCAACGUACAAGGAGGAAUAAUUAAGACUGUGAAAAUGUCUAAGAUUAUCUUGGUUACUGUCCUAGUCGCGUGCUUGGCAAUGAUGGUGUCCGCAAGCCCGGUGAAGGAGACUCGUGCUAUAAAACUUCUGAAGCAAAUACGCUCUACUGUGUUAACUGACGAGCAGAUGGAUGCAGUAUACUCAUUCUUUGACGAGGACAAAGACGGCAAACUUAACCAUGCGGAACUUUCUAAUUUGUUUGGUUUUGGUGGUGUUGACGAUAGUGACAGUAUGGUUGGCAUUCUUCUCCUGUUCGGCGAUACAGACCAUGAUGGGAAACUCACCA
rnacentral:lncRNA from 1 species